UGGGGAAUAUUGGACAAUGGGCGCAAGCCUGAUCCAGCAAUGCCGCGUGUGUGAAGAAGGCCUUCGGGUUGUAAAGCACUUUUAUCAGGAGCGAAACGCUGUCGGCUAACACCCGGCGGAACUGACGGUACCUGAGGAAUAAGCACCGGCUAACUUCGUGCCAGCAGCCGCGGUAAUACGAAGGGUGCAAGCGUUAAUCGGAAUUACUGGGCGUAAAGCGUGCGUAGGCGGUUUCUUAAGUCUGCUGUGAAAUCCCCGGGCUCAACCUGGGAAUGGCAGUGGAUACUGGGAGGCUAGAGUGUGUCAGAGGGUGGUGGAAUUCCCGGUGUAGCGGUGAAAUGCGUAGAGAUCGGGAGGAACAUCAGUGGCGAAGGCGGCCACCUGGGACAACACUGACGCUGAGGCACGAAAGCGUGGGGAGCAAACAGGAUUAGAUACCCUGGUAGUCCACGCCCUAAACGAUGCGAACUGGAUGUUGGUCUCAACUCGGAGAUCAGUGUCGAAGCUAACGCGUUAAGUUCGCCGCCUGGGGAGUACGGUCGCAAGACUGAAACUCAAAUGAAUUGA
rnacentral:rRNA from 1 species